AGUGAACGCUGGCGGUAGGCCUAACACAUGCAAGUCGAACGGCAGCACAGUAAGAGCUUGCUCUUACGGGUGGCGAGUGGCGGACGGGUGAGGAAUACAUCGGCAUCUACUUUUUCGUGGGGGAUAACGUAGGGAAACUUACGCUAAUACCGCAUACGACCUACGGGUGAAAGCAGGGGAUCUUCGUACCUUGCGCGAUUGAAUGAGCCGAUGUCGGAUUAGCUAGUUGGCGGGGUAAAGGCCCACCAAGGCGACGAUCCGUAGCUGGUCUGAGAGGAUGAUCAGCCACACUGGAACUGAGACACGGUCCAGACUCCUACGGGAGGCAGCAGUGGGGAAUAUUGGACAAUGGGCGCAAGCCUGAUCCAGCCAUACCGCGUGGGUGAAGAAGGCCUUCGGGUUGUAAAGCACUUUUGUUGGGAAAGAAAAGCAGCAGGUUAAUACCCCGCUGUUCUGACGGUACCCAAAGAAUAAGCACCGGCUAACUACGUG
rnacentral:rRNA from 1 species